rnacentral:lncRNA from 1 species
GCAAGUUCAUGGGACAUGUAUGUUUUCUUUUCUUCUGUGAAUUCGGUACUAGAGGAGUUAUUGCUCACGUAAAAAACAAAAGCUUGACAUUUUUUUCUAAUAAUGUAGUGGGAUUAUUUAUACCUAAUGUCAUCUUAGAAUGUUGCUUCAUUCCCUUGCGAUUAAAAUAUAUAUGAGAAAUUUAUAGAGCCUCCCCUUAUCAUCAUUAAGUUAUGCUUAAAAUCUGAUAAAUCAAACAUAGUUGGGAAAGUUCAUUCUGCUUCAGUGAUCUUAAAUUCUGUGAAAUACAUUGGACUGUGUGGAUGCAACAGUUAACAUAUAUAUGUGCUAGAUUUAUUUAUUGGUAAAUCAUAGAAAUAGAGUAUUUUGUUGAAUUAUAGUUCAUUUGUCAAAAAUGGUGAGAAAUUUAGUAUGGAAUGAUAUAUCUAUCAAUUUUGCAUAUUGAAGCAUCCUUACAUCAGAUUAAAUAAUUUCAGGUACAACUAUCCAAUAAGUUUAGAUGCACGUACAAUAAGCAACUAUACUAACUUGGGGUUUAAUUUUGUACCUUUAGUAUUCGGUAUGUUACAUAUAAAUUAUAAAUUUACAUUGCUAAAUUUUUAUGAAUGAGAUCCUAAUAUUCUGCUGUAUUACACUAUGUUUGCCAAAUUAAGGAUCUGUUCUUGAUGGCUUUGAAUUCUUAUCAAUCUGAGCAUGAAUACAACCAUUUUCAAAUUGUCUUGAACUAUAAUCUAUUAUCUGGCUCCUGAAUUAUAUUUUCUUAUUGUUAUGUUGCAGAAAUCAUAAAUUGAAUAUCCCACGGAGGCAGAAAGGCCACCAUCACCGGAGGAACUUAGGGAGAUGGCUCGUAAAAGGAACAGUUCCUGAUGCUCCAUGUGGUUGUUUUGGUUGCACCGCAGUGGUUGUGUAACAGUAUCACUGAUUAUGCAGUAACUAUGUUUACUUUUGUGUGUAAUAAUAAAUAAUGAUUUAUA